AUACGGAGGAUCCGAGCGUUAUCCGGAUUUAUUGGGUUUAAAGGGUGCGCAGGCGUGAGAUUAAGUCGGCGGUGAAAUUUUGCAGCUCAACUGUAAAAGUGCCUUCGAAACUGGUUUCCUUGAGUGUAGAUGAAGUAGGCGGAAUUUGUGGUGUAGCGGUGAAAUGCAUAGAUAUCACGAGGAACUCCGAUUGCGCAGGCAGCUUACUAAACUACUACUGACGCUCAGGCACGAAGGCGUGGGGAUCAAACAGGAUUAGAUACCCUGGUAGUCCACGCAGUAAACGAUGAUUACUAGCUGUUUGCGAUACAAUGUAAGCGGCUGAGCGAAAGCGUUAAGUAAUCCACCUGGGGAGUACGUUCGCAAGAAUGAAACUCAAAGGAAUUGACGGGG
rnacentral:rRNA from 1 species